UCUUCUCACCCUCCCAAACCCGUGGCUGCUUGGAGAUGGAGACCUAGGGUUUUCAAAUUUUCUUUCCUUCCAUUCUCACUCUUUUGGUCAUCAAAAGGAAUUAUGCCUUACAUGAAAGUUAUGGGAAAAAGUCCAAUGAAGCUAUUCCAACCAUCAAUUUGAGUUAUUGUUGAGAGCUGGGUGAGUUUUCCCUCCUCCCAAAUCUGAGUUACUAUUCAUCCCAAGGAAAAAAAAGUGGAGCUUCCAUGGAGUUUUGCUUGAGAGAGGUCUCCCAGGCUUUGGGUAGUUGCUUUAAGGUGUACCUAGGGACUGAAAAGGAAUCAGAAUCUCUUGAAGAUAUAUAAGUAACUUGAGCCACAAGUAAGCUGAUUGUUAAAGCUUCAAGAGGUGCCCAGAUUCCCGGUGAGUCCUCACUAGGCAGGGACACGACACGUGGCUGAGGCAGUUGACAGAUCGGAUUUUGAGUGGCUGUAGGCUACUACCUUUUUGGAGUGUUUGAUGUAUUUUAGUAUUUUCGCAUUUGAUGGAUCAUGAUAUUGAUCCUUUAUUUUGUAUAUGGCCUGUAUAUGUUUUGUACACGUCUGUCGCUUUGAUGCAUGUACAUUUGGGUAUUCAGGCACGUUAUGUGAUGAGGUAGUAUUCAGAUA